CUAAACCAAAUCAGCCACCCCACCCUCUCUCUUCCUUGUCUCCCUCUAAAAAAUCAACCACCACCGAAGCCAAAAUCGACGUCUCCUUCGACAACUCAGCGACCAUCCACCGCUAGUCAAGCCACCGUGAUCCCUCUAUUCUCCAACCAAGCUCUGCGCCACUAGCAGCCCUCAAACCACGCCGCCGCUGACCUCUUCCAUUUUCGUCAAGCCACCAGCCAACGUUGCCUCUCCAGCAAAGCUCCAAAUGCUGUUGCUCCGCCUCCGCGACAACAGCAGUAAUGACGCUCCGCCGCCCCUCUCCUCCGCCAUCGCCAGACAUCAAUUCGCCUCCGCCCCAAUCCGCCGCCGACAACAACAACAACGACAUCGCCGCCCUUUGCCACUACUUUUUCGGUCGAGUCCAUAAAAUAUGACGGAUUCUUAAAUCCGUCAAAGGUUUGAUUUAUUGUUAAAUUUCAUUUCUUUCCUUAAGAUAUAAUCUGCGAUCUGAAAUUGAUGAAACUGGUUUAAGAGUUUUGAUAUAAUUUUUUAUAAUAUGGGUUUGUUAACGUGCUUAGGUCGUCAUAUAAAGUUUCGAUUUUAGUGAUGUUUAAUUACGCCCUCAAUAUUUUUGAAUUGUUGGUUGAUUGAUAUUCACAUUCAUAUUCAACUUGUGGAAUCAUUGUUCUAGCUUGUGAAAUUGUUAUUCUUGCUUGUGGGUUGCAUUUUUUUGAUCUCUUCAUUGGCUAAGUAUUUGAUGCAUAGGUGGAUAGAUUCUUCUUAAUCGUGACGGAUUUGACACUUAGUAUCUGUAGGAAAGAAUAUAUGAAUUAACUAAUACUAUGAGAUUGAUUUUUGUGAUGAGAUUUUGUGUAUAAUUAAAUUAUCAUGAUUAUGAAAUGUUAUAUUUGAUCAUUUGUCCAAUCUUAUCACAUAUGGUAAAAACUGAUACAUUUUAUUCAUUCUUUUGCCUACCUAAUUACGGUAAAUUUGGCUUCUAAUUGAUUUCAUCUAGUUAAUUAACAAAAAAUAAUAUUGUUGAUGACUUUUCUCAGUAUUGGCUUUCCUUUUAUUCCUUGGAUUGAUUUGUAUAUGAUUGAUUCAGUUAAGAGAAAUUUUCUCUUAAUUGGUUGACAAGAAUAUUGUUUUGCUAUUUUUAUCUUGGUAUGAUUUUACAUUACUUGGCUAUAUAAACAAAUUUCCCUCAUUCUUUGAGGGGAGAAUGGACACACUAUAAUCUCUUAUCACCCUUUCUCACUCCUGAUACACUCUCUCUAUACAGAAAAACCUUCACUUCUUAUCAUAUUUACUCCCUACUCUCUAGACAUCUCAUAUACUGUUAUUUACUACAGCAUAUGCUUCUCUAUACGAAGAAAAUAAGAUUUCUUAAGCUUUGACUUUCUCUUCGGGUUUAAGGCAAUAUCUCUCACUGUUACUAGUUCUUUGCUUCAACAACCUGCUUAUUAUCUUAUUUUGUUUACUUCUCAUCGGUAAGUCACUAAUCGACGCAUUAUUUUCUUAUUCCACAGUAGUUGUGAUAGCAAAAUAUAGAAAGCAUGUCUAUAGGGACUAAUCUGAAACAAUGACGCUGUGCUUGCUUACUAUGUCUUUGUUUCCUAUGCCUGUGUUUCCUUUGUGCCUCUGUUUAGGACAACAUGUUCGUAUGUCCUUUUGUUCUUGCCAUGUUUUGUUUAACAGGUUCAGAAAUCAAAGAGACGCCGAGAUGUUUAAUUGGAUUAUGUUAUAGUUAGAUGUGUCUUUAUUUAUUUAUUUGGGUUUGUUAUAUUAUUUGUAAAAACAUUAUUCUCAUUAUUGUAAUUAUAACAUUUGGGGGACUGCUUUGGGGGGCGGGGAUUUACGUGCUCUAUGAACGGUAUAGUAGACACAAUUUAGGUUUACGUGCGAUACAUGUUACAUGGAUCAUCUAGGCACAACAAAUUUAGAAUUUAUUAACAUAGGCAAUGCUUAGUCUGUUUGUUAACAAAUUCGAUUCAAUUUCGGUACAUUAACGUGAUUUUAGCAUUAAGUAUAAACAAUUUAAUAUGUCUAUCAUGUUAACACG
rnacentral:lncRNA from 1 species